rnacentral:misc_RNA from 1 species
GAUGAAGAACGCAGCGAAAUGCGAUACGUAAUGUGAAUUGCAGAAUCCAGUGAAUCAUCGAAUCUUUGAACGCAUAUUGCGCUCUCUGGUAUUCCGGAGAGCAUGCUUGUUUGAGUAUCAGUAAACACCUCAACUCCCUUUUCUUUUUUGAAAUUGGAGCUGGACUUGAGUGAUCCCAACGCUUUCUUCCAAGAAAGUGGCGGGUUGCUUGAAAUGCAGGUGCAGCUGAACUUUUCUCUGAGCUAUAAGCAUAUCUAUUUAGUCUGCCUAAAAAACAGAUUAUUACCUUUGCUGCAGCUAACAUAAAGGAGACUAGUUCUUGUGCUGACUGAUGCAGGAUUCACAGAGACAGCUUCGGCUGACUUUGUAAACUCGAUCUCAAAUCAAGUAAGACUACCCGCUGAACUUAAGCAUAUCAAUAAGCGGAGGA